rnacentral:rRNA from 1 species
UAUACAUGCAGUCGAGCGGACAGAUGGGAGCUUGCUCCCUGAUGUUAGCGGCGGACGGGUGAGUAACACGUGGGUAACCUGCCUGUAAGACUGGGAUAACUCCGGGAAACCGGGGCUAAUACCGGAUGCUUGAUUGAACCGCAUGGUUCAAUUAUAAAAGGUGGCUUUUGCCUAAGCUACCACUUACAGAUGGACCCGCGGCGCAUUAGCUAGUUGGUGAGGUAACGGCUCACCAAGGCGACGAUGCGUAGCCGACCUGAGAGGGUG